GGUCACAUCACGUUGAAGGGCCAGUUCUCGUACGAUCACCGAAGUUAAGCAACGUCGAGCCUAGUCAGUACCUAGAUGAGUGACCGCUUGGUAAUACUAGGUGCUAUA